GAUGAACGCUGGCGGUGUGCCUAAUACAUGCAAGUCGAGCGAACGGACGAGAAGCUCUCUUUUUUGAUGUUAGCGGCGGACGGGUGAGUAACACGUGGAUAACCUACCUAUAAGACUUGGAUAAUUUCGGGAAACCGGAGCUGAUACUGCAUAAUAUUUUGAACUGCAUGGUUCAAAAGUGAAAGACUGUCUUGCUGUCUCUUAUAGAUGGAUCCGCGCUGCAUUAUCUAGUUGGUAAGGUAACGGCUUACCAAGGCAACGAUGCAUAGCCGACCUGAGAGGAUGAUCAGCCACACUGGAACUGAGACACGGUCCAGACUCCGACGGGAGGCAGCAGUAGGGAAUAUUCCGCAAUGGGCGCAAGCCUGACGGAGCAACGCCGCGUGAGUGAUGAAGGUCUUCGGAUCGUAAAACUCUGUUAUUAGGGAAGAAAAUAUGUGUAAGUAACUGUGGACAUCUUGACGGUACCUAAUCAGAAAGCCACGGCUAACUGCGUG
rnacentral:rRNA from 1 species